GAACGGGUGAGUAACACGUGGGUGAUCUGCCCUGCACUUCGGGAUAAGCCUGGGAAACUGGGUCUAAUACCGGAUAUGACCUCCUAUCGCAUGGUGGGUGGUGGAAAGAUUUAUCGGUGCAGGAUGGGCCCGCGGCCUAUCAGCUUGUUGGUGGGGUAAUGGCCUACCAAGGCGACGACGGGUAGCCGACCUGAGAGGGUGACCGGCCACACUGGGACUGAGACACGGCCCAGACUCCUACGGGAGGCAGCAGUGGGGAAUAUUGCACAAUGGGCGAAAGCCUGAUGCAGCGACGCCGCGUGAGGGAUGACGGCCUUCGGGUUGUAAACCUCUUUCAGCAGGGACGAAGCGCAAGUGACGGUACCUGCAGAAGAAGCACCGGCUAACUACGUGCCAGCAGCCGCGGUAAUACGUAG
rnacentral:rRNA from 1 species